GCGCGGGUGGCGGAAUGGCAGACGCGCUAGCUUGAGGUGCUAGUGUCCGAAAGGACGUAGGGGUUCAAGUCCCCUUUCGCGCA
rnacentral:tRNA from 2 species